AACGCACAUUGCGCCCGCCAGUAUUCUGGCGGGCAUGCCUGUCCGAGCGUCAUUUCAACCAUCAAGCCCCCCUGGCUUGUGUUGGGGACCUGCGGCUGCCCGCAGGCCCUGAAAUUCAGUGGCGGGCUCGCUGACACACCGAGCGUAGUAGCAUCAAGCUCGCUCAGGGCGUGCCGCGGGUGCCGGCCGUGAAAACCAGCUUCGAUUAGCGCUAGGUUGACCUCGGAUCAGGUAGGAAGACCCGCUGAACUUAA
rnacentral:misc_RNA from 1 species